rnacentral:rRNA from 1 species
GUACGCUGGCGGCACGCCUAACACAUGCAAGUCGAACGAAGUAGCAAUACUUAGUGGCAGACGGGUGAGUAACAUGUAGGUAUCUACCCUAUGGCCUGGAAUAACACGAGGAAACUUGUGCUAAUACUGGAUAAGUCUUUACGGAGAAAGCUUUAUGCACCAUUGGAUGAGCCUGCACUUGAUUAGUUUGUUGGUGGGGUAAUGGCCUACCAAGACUGUGAUCAAUAGCUGAUUUGAGAGGAUGAUCAGCCACAUUGGGACUGAGACACGGCCCAAACUCCUACGGGAGGCAGCAGUGGGGAAUCUUGCACAAUGGAGGAAACUCUGAUGCAGCGAUGCCGCGUGAGUGAAGAAGGCCUUUGGGUUGUAAAGCUCUUUCGUCGGGGAAGAAAAUGACUGUACCCGAAUAAGAAGGUCCGGC